rnacentral:rRNA from 1 species
AGAGUUUGAUCAUGGCUCAGAGCGAACGCUGGCGGCAGGCCUAACACAUGCAAGUCGAACGGACCCUUCGGGGUUAGUGGCGGACGAGUGAGUAACACGUGGGAACGUGCCUUUAGGUUCGGAAUAGCUCCUGGAAACGGGUGGUAAUGCCGAAUGUGCCCUUCGGGGGAAAGAUUUAUCGCCUUUAGAGCGGCCCGCGUCUGAUUAGCUUGUUGGUGGGGUAAUGGCCCACCAAGGCUACGAUCAGUAGCUGGUCUGAGAGGAUGACCAGCCACAUUGGGACUGAGACACGGCCCAAACUCCUACGGGAGGCAGCAGUGGGGAAUCUUGCGCAAUGGGCGAAAGCCUGACGCAGCCAUGCCGCGUGUAUGAUGAAGGUCUUAGGAUUGUAAAAUACUUUCACCGGUGAAGAUAAUGACUGUAGCCGGAGAAGAAGCCCCGGCUAACUUCGUGCCAGCAGCCGCGGUAAUACGAAGGGGGCUAGCGUUGCUCGGAAUUACUGGGCGUAAAGGGAGCGUAGGCGGACAUUUAAGUCAGAGGUGAAAUCCCGGAGCUUAACUUCGGAACUGCCUUUGAUACUGGGUGUCUUGAGUGUGAGAGAGGUAUGUGGGACUCCGAGUGUAGAGGUGAAAUUCGUAGAUAUUCGGAAGAACACCAGUGGCGAAGGCGACAUACUGGCUCAUUACUGACGCUGAGGCUCGAAAGCGUGGGGAGCAAACAGGAUUAGAUACCCUGGUAGUCCACGCCGUAAACGAUGAUUGCUAGUUGUCGGAAAGCUUGCUUUUCGGUGACGCAGCUAACGCAUAAGCAUCCGC